rnacentral:rRNA from 1 species
GAUGAACGCUGGCGGCGUGCCUAAUACAUGCAAGUCGAGCGAACAGAUAAGGAGCUUGCUCCUUUGACGUUAGCGGCGGACGGGUGAGUAACACGUGGGUAACCUACCUAUAAGACUGGGAUAACUUCGGGAAACCGGGGCUAAUACCGGAUAAUAUUUCGAACCGCAUGGUUCGAUAGUGAAAGAUGGUUUUGCUAUCACUUAUAGAUGGACCCGCGCCGUAUUAGCUAGUUGGUAAGGUAACGGCUUACCAAGGCGACGAUACGUAGCCGACCUGAGAGGGUGAUCGGCCACACUGGAACUGAGGCACGGUCCAGACUCCUACGGGAGGCAGCAGUAGGGAAUCUUCCGCAAUGGGCGAAAGCCUGACGGAGCAACGCCGCGUGAGUGAUGAAGGUCUUCGGAUCGUAAAACUCUGUUAUUAGGGAAGAACAUACGUGUAAGUAACUGUGCACGUCUUGACGGUACCUAAUCAGAAAGCCACGGCUAACUACGUG